GUGCUCGCUUCGGCAGCAUGUACACUAAAAUUGGGACUCUACAUAGAAGACUGAAAAGGCCUCAGCGCAAGGAUGAAACACUACACAGCGUUUCAUUUUCUAUUUAU